rnacentral:rRNA from 1 species
AACGAACGCUGGCGGCAUGCCUAACACAUGCAAGUCGAACGAGACCUUCGGGUAUAGUGGCGAACGGGUGCGUAACGCGUGGGAACCUGCCCUUAGGUUCGGAAUAACUCCCCGAAAGGGGUGCUAAUACCGGAUAAUGUCUUCGGACCAAAGAUUUAUCGCCUUUGGAUGGGCCCGCGUUGGAUUAGCUAGUUGGUAGGGUAAAAGCCUACCAAGGCGACGAUCCAUAGCUGGUCUGAGAGGAUGAUCAGCCACACUGGGACUGAGACACGGCCCAGACUCCUACGGGAGGCAGCAGUUGUGAAUAUUGGACAAUGGGCGAAAGCCUGAUCCAUCAAUGCCGCGUGAGUGAUGAAGGCCUUAGGGUUGUAAAGCUCUUUUACCCGGGAUGAUAAUGACAGUACCGGGAGAAUAAGCUCCGGCUAACUCCGUG